rnacentral:rRNA from 1 species
AUUGAACGCUGGCGGCAGGCUUAACACAUGCAAGUCGAGCGGAGAUGAGGUGCUUGCGCCUUAUCUUAGCGGCGGACGGGUGAGUAAUGCUUAGGAAUCUGCCUAUUAGUGGGGGACAACAUUCCGAAAGGAAUGCUAAUACCGCAUACGUCCUACGGGAGAAAGCAGGUGAUCUUCGAACCUCGCGCUACUAGAUGAGCCUAAGUCGGAUUAGCUAGUUGGUGGGGUAAAGGCCUACCAAGGCGACGAUCUGUAGCGGGUCUGAGAGGAUGAUCCGCCACACUGGGACUGAGACACGGCCCAGACUCCUACGGGAGGCAGCAGUGGGGAAUAUUGGACAAUGGGGGGAACCCUGAUCCAGCCAUGCCGCGUGUGUGAAGAAGGCCUUAUGGUUGUAAAGCACUUUAAGCGAGGAGGAGGCUACUGAGACUAAUACUCUUGGAUAGUGGACGUUACUCGCAGAAUAAGCACCGGCUAACUCUGUGCCAGCAGCCGCGGUAAAAC